UCCGGCCAUAUCGCGUUAAAACACCGGUUCUGAUCCGAUCAGCGAAGUUAAUCAACGUCGGGCCUAGCGAAUACCGAGCUGAGCAAUCGCUUAGGAAUGACAGUUGCUGUAAG